AUGAACGCUAGCUACAGGCUUAACACAUGCAAGUCGAGGGGCAGCAUGGUCUUAGCUUGCUAAGGCCGAUGGCGACCGGCGCACGGGUGAGUAACACGUAUCCAACCUGCCGUCUACUCUUGGACAGCCUUCUGAAAGGAAGAUUAAUACAAGAUGGCAUCAUGAGUCCGCAUGUUCACAUGAUUAAAGGUAUUCCGGUAGACGAUGGGGAUGCGUUCCAUUAGAUAGUAGGCGGGGUAACGGCCCACCUAGUCUUCGAUGGAUAGGGGUUCUGAGAGGAAGGUCCCCCACAUUGGAACUGAGACACGGUCCAAACUCCUACGGGAGGCAGCAGUGAGGAAUAUUGGUCAAUGGGCGAGAGCCUGAACCAGCCAAGUAGCGUGAAGGAUGACUGCCCUAUGGGUUGUAAACUUCUUUUAUAAAGGAAUAAAGUCGGGUAUGGAUACCCGUUUGCAUGUACUUUAUGAAUAAGGAUCGGCUAACUCCGUGCCAGCAGCCGCGGUAAUACGGAGGAUCCGAGCGUUAUCCGGAUUUAUUGGGUUUAAAGGGAGCGUAGAUGGAUGUUUAAGUCAGUUGUGAAAGUUUGCGGCUCAACCGUAAAAUUGCAGUUGAUACUGGAUAUCUUGAGUGCAGUUGAGGCAGGCGGAAUUCGUGGUGUAGCGGUGAAAUGCUUAGAUAUCACGAAGAACUCCGAUUGCGAAGGCAGCCUGCUAAGCUGCAACUGACAUUGAGGCUCGAAAGUGUGGGUAUCAAACAGGAUUAGAUACCCUGGUAGUCCACACGGUAAACGAUGAAUACUCGCUGUUUGCGAUAUACUGCAAGCGGCCAAGCGAAAGCGUUAAGUAUUCCACCUGGGGAGUACGCCGGCAACGGUGAAACUCAAAGGAAUUGACGGGGGCCCGCACAAGCGGAGGAACAUGUGGUUUAAUUCGAUGAUACGCGAGGAACCUUACCCGGGCUUAAAUUGCAGAUGAAUUACGGUGAAAGCCGUAAGCCGCAAGGCAUCUGUGAAGGUGCUGCAUGGUUGUCGUCAGCUCGUGCCGUGAGGUGUCGGCUUAAGUGCCAUAACGAGCGCAACCCUUGUUGUCAGUUACUAACAGGUUCCGCUGAGGACUCUGAAAGACUGCCAUCGUAAGAUGUGAGGAAGGUGGGGAUGACGUCAAAUCAGCACGGCCCUUACGUCCGGGGCUACACACGUGUUACAAUGGGGGGUACAGAGGGCCGCUACCACGCGAGUGGAUGCCAAUCCCCAAAACCUCUCUCAGUUCGGACUGGAGUCUGCAACCCGACUCCACGAAGCUGGAUUCGCUAGUAAUCGCGCAUCAGCCACGGCGCGGUGAAUACGUUCCCGGGCCUUGUACACACCGCCCGUCAAGCCAUGGGAGCCGGGGGUACCUGAAGUGCGUAACCGCGAGGAGCGCCCUAGGGUAAAACUGGUGACUGGGGCU
rnacentral:rRNA from 1 species